UUUUUCCGUAACUGCUGUAGGUGGCGUUAUGCCUUAUUAAUAUAUUUCAAAGUUUAUUAUAUAGACUGUCUUGAUUUACCUCCGUCAUCUCGCCUGAUAUCCUUUGUCUUCAUUCUUGUCCUACCACUUCCACACACCCCCUCCCCCCUUGCCAUCCACCGUCUCUAUUUUUUUUUACCGUAUUCAUUCCAUCUCGUUCCCCCACACUCUUCCCGUCUCUUUCUCAGUCCUCUGUUUAUUCACCCAACUUCCUUUUCCGUUCUAAACUUCACCCUCGUCUUCCCCCCUUCCCUCCCUUUCCGCCUUUCUCUUUGCUCGGUACAGCACAGUGUCAACCAACAUAUCCUUCAGAGUCUGAUAGCUGUAUUUGAUGAGUGGUGAGCCGCGUUUUUUGAGGCCGUUGGUGUGUGUGGUGGUGUCUCUCGCUCUUGGUUACCAUAGGUGUGGUGGUCCCUGGUCUGUGGUUCACUCUUGUUCACACUUGAUAUUUUUGGCAGUGUUGACUUGUUACGGAUGGGUUUUUAAGUAGCUGACUCACCAAUUUGUUAAGUUAAUGGGUAAAGUAAAUGGUCUUGUUAGGUUUUGUGUAUAAAGAUUGUUUGUUAGUUUAUUUAUUUUUUGUAUUUCUGUUGCCCAGUUUCGUUUCAUUUCGUUUCCUUUGGUGUUACUUCCUCCCCGUGAAUGUUAUCGUUGUGAUACAUAGAAUAAUACGGUUCUCUUUUUCUCCCCAGGUAAGAAGAUGAAGUGUUGUUGUAGUGGCAGCUGACCCGAGUCACCCCAAGCUGGUCAGUGCCAUCCUCAACUGCUUCACCACCUGACGAGGAGCUAAGUUCCCUUUGCCGUGGUUCUUGGUGUAGAUUUACAAGCUGGUGGUGUGAAUUUUCUGUGACGCAUGUAUGUUGAGGUAACCGGGGCUGGCGAACACGUAAGCUUGUGAAGUUGUGAUGACAGGGCGUGUGGUGCCUACCUCAUGGCUCAGAGGU